rnacentral:snRNA from 1 species
GGAUGUGAGGGUGAUCUGGCUGCGACAUCUGUCACCCCAUUGAUCUCCAGGGUUGAUUCGGCUGAUCUGGCUGGCUAGGCGGGUGUCCCCUUCCUCCCUCACCGCUCCAUGUGCGUCCCUCCCCAAGCUGCGUGCUCGGUCGAAGAGGACGAUAUUCCCUGAUAGAGGAGGACCGUUCUUUGGUCAAGGGUAUACGAGUAGCUAUGCUCCCCUGCUAGAACCUCCAAACAAGCUCUAAAGGUCCAUUUGUAGGAGAACGUAGGGUAGUCAAGCUUCCAAGACUCCAGACACAUCCAAAUGAGGCGCUGCACGUGGCAGUCUGCCUUUCUAA